rnacentral:misc_RNA from 1 species
UCACAAGAAAUUGCAAGAGCAGAUUGCAGAAGCAGAAAAUAGAUAUAGCACUGAGCUUAAUGCUUUGCAAGAGGCGUUGCAAGCUCAAGAAUUGAAUAACAAGGAGCAUGUUAAUGUUAAGGAGGCCUUUGACAGACUUGGUCUCGAGUUUGAAAGCUCAAAGAAGAAGAUGGAAGAGCUUGAACAAGAGCUGCUGGCUUCCGCAGGUGAGGCUCAAAAGUUUGAGGAGUUGCACAAACAAAG